GACCAGUCGGCUGCCCGUAGUAUAUCCUCCAAUUUACAACCUAUCAUGGAUGCUUUAGAGGCCAUAGCUCCGCGAACAGAAUGCGAGGAAAAAACCGAGGUGUCCACGCCUGCCAUUGACAGCAACCAUUUGACCCAACGAGCUAAAGUAGCCGUAGAUACUGGUAGGUGAGGUCUUUUGAAUGAGAUGAACAGUGGAUGGGUGUGUCCUGGACGGAGUGAAGCCGUGCGAAGCUCGUAUUCUUUCAGACAUAACACAGGGCACAAACUUGGAUUGUCCGGCAAUGAUGGGUAGAACACCUCCUUGGUCGAGGAUUUCGUUCUCCGUGAAAUAUUAAAG